rnacentral:tRNA from 1 species
GGGGUAUUAGUAAAUCAAUUACACAGCCUUGUCAGGACUGAAUCACAGAUGAAAACCCUGUAUACCCCA